GCCAUUGUAACUCAGUUGGUAAAGUGUUGGAUUCAUAAUCCAAGGGUCAUGGGUUCAAUAAGCAACAAAGUCAGUUUGAGUCAGUCUUCCAUUCUUGGCA